rnacentral:rRNA from 1 species
GUAAGUAGCGGCGAGCGAACGCGGAUUAGCCCAAACCAAUAAAGUUUUCUUUAUUGGGGUUGCGGACAUAUCAUAACGAAGAGGUAUCGUAAUUGAAGAGGUUUGGAAAGAUCCACCACAGAAGGUAAUAGUCCUGUAUGUUAAACGAGAAGACUUUAGAUAUGAUCCAGAGUACCACGGGACACGUGAAACCCUGUGGGAAGCAGGAGGGACCACCCUCCAAGGCUAAAUACUACCUAGUGACCGAUAGCGUAUAGUACCGUGAGGGAAAGGUGAAAAGA